GUUCAAGUAGUUCAAGUUCGAUCAAGCGACAAUUCAGCCGACCUUUUCACCAAGUCUCUGCCUACCUCAACGUUCAGGAAGCUGGUUCAUCAGAUAGGGAUGCGCCGCUGAAGGAUCUUCAGUGAUGCCUUCAUCGGGGGAGUAUCAUCAUGCGUUGUACUCUUUUUUCCUGUCUAUGGUUUCCAUUUUUCCCACCUUGGGUUUUGGUUUUCCUAGAGGGUUUUAACGAGGCAACAUCGUGCAUGGUACUGGCCCAUAUGGUUAUAGCAUCCAAGGGGGAGUGUUAUAAAACACAUGUGGAUUGCUAGUAACCAUGUAAAGGAAGAACGGACCGUGUCCAGGCCCAAGACCAAGACCGCGUCCAAGAGAGAAAGAGAGAGAGGCGGCCAAUGCAUUGGACCGACCUUAGAUCUUAGUUUUAGGAACUUUCCUUUUCUCUUCAUGUUUAUCUAUAAGAAGUUUUCCUUUUUACUUUAGGAUAAGGAUUUGUACUAUUUCCUUUUCUCCAUAUCUUGUAAUCCCCUAUAUAAGGGAACACUUUGAUUAAUGAAAUAGACACACGAUUUCCCCAUCUUUUACAACACCAAGGAUGUUUUCAUUAAUCAAGAACGAAAGUUGGGGGCUCGAAGACGAUCAGAUACCGUCCUAGUCUCAACCAUAAACGAUGCCGACCAGGGAUCAGCGGAUGUUGCUUUUAGGACUCCGCUGGCACCUUAUGAGAAAUCAAAGUUUUUGGUUCCGGGGAGUAUGGUCGCAAGGCUGAAACUUAAAGGAAUUGACGGAAGGGCACCACCAGGAGGGAGCCUGCGGCUUAAUUUGACUCAACACGGGAAACUUACCAGGUCCGGACAUAGUAAGGAUUGACAGACUGAGAGCUCUUUCUUGAUUCUAUGGGUGGUGGUGCAUGGCCGUUCUUAGUUGGUGGAGCGAUUUGUCUGGUUAAUUCCGUUAACGAACGAGACCUCAGCCUGCUAACUAGCUACGUGGAGGCAUCCCUUCACGGCCGGCUUCUUAGAGGGACUAUGGCCGUUUAGGCCAAGGAAGUUUGAGGCAAUAACAGGUCUGUGAUGCCCUUAGAUGUUCUGGGGCGCACGCGCUUCUACACUGAUGUAUUCAACGAAGUUCACACCUUGGCCGACAGGCCCGGGUAAUCUUUGAAAUUUCAUCGUGAUGGGGAUAGAUCAUUGCAAUUGUUGGUCUUCAACGAGGAAUUCCUAGUAAGCGAGUCAUCAGCUCGCGUUGACUACGCCCCUGCCCUUUGUACACACCGCCCGUCGCUCUCCUACCGAUUGAAUGAUCCGGUGAAGUGUUCGGAUCGCGGCGUGGGUUUCGCCGUCUGCGACGUCGCGAAAGUCCACUAAACCUUAUCAUUUAGAGGAAGGAGAAGUCGUAACAAGGUUUCCGUAGGUGAACCUGCGGAAG
rnacentral:rRNA from 1 species